rnacentral:rRNA from 1 species
UACAGAGGUGGCAAGCGUUGUUCGGAUUUACUGGCGUAAGGGCGCGAGUAGGCGGCCAGCACAAGUCAGUUGUGAAAUCUCCGAGCUUAACUCGGAACGGUCAACUGAUACUGUGCGGCUAGAGUGCGGAAGGGGCAACUGGAAUUCUUGGUGUAGCGGUGAAAUGCGCAGAUAUCAGGAAGAACACCCGUGGCGAAGGCGGCUCUCUGGGACGGUACUGACGCUGAGACGCGAAAGCGUGGGGAGCGAACAGG